ACUCCUACGGGAGGCAGCAGUGGGGAAUAUUGCACAAUGGGCGCAAGCCUGAUGCAGCCAUGCCGCGUGUGUGAAGAAGGCCUUCGGGUUGUAAAGCACUUUCAGCAGUGAGGAAGGCGGAGUCGUUAAUAGCGGCCUCGUUUGACGUUAGCUGCAGAAGAAGCACCGGCUAACUCCGUGCCAGCAGCCGCGGUAAUACGGAGGGUGCGAGCGUUAAUCGGAAUUACUGGGCGUAAAGCGCAUGCAGGUGGUUUGUUAAGUCAGAUGUGAAAGCCCGGGGCUCAACCUCGGAAUAGCAUUUGAAACUGGCAGACUAGAGUACUGUAGAGGGGGGUAGAAUUUCAGGUGUAGCGGUGAAAUGCGUAGAGAUCUGAAGGAAUACCGGUGGCGAAAGGCGGCCCCCUGGACAGAUACUGACACUCAGAUGCGAAAGCGUGGGGAGCAAACAGGAUUAGAUACCCUGGUAGGAUAGCG
rnacentral:rRNA from 1 species